rnacentral:pre_miRNA from 1 species
UGUAUACUCCCUCCGUUCCAAAAUACUUGACUUCCAUUUGUCCAAAAAUGGAUGUACCUAUAUACUAAGACAUGUCUAGAUACAUAUAUAUUUUGACAAAUAGAAGGCAUGUAGUAUUGUGCAACGGAGGGAGUAGAAU